AUUUUAUAACAGACUGACUUUUUCUCUGAAACUUGAACUUAUUGUAUAUAUAUAUUCUCAAACACCCUUUUGGUAGAUAGAAGGAUACAAGAUGGGUUUAUCAGUCAUUUGUCAGAAGAACCUGUGUUACAAUAGAAGCAGAAGCAGAAGAUUACAUUUAAACAAAAAUAUGGAAAAAAAGGAAAUAUAGUCUUCAAAAUUGUGACCAUUACCAUAGAUACAUAGAUUGAAAAUAAAAUCAAUCUGCAGUGGCCAGAAGUACAUGCACAAUUUUUGUUUUAUUAUAGCUGCUUUAAGAUACAAUUGUAGAUCUCAGGGAGUCUGGUGAUUGGAACCUCCUCUUUUUAUGGAAGAUUAAUGCAUUUGAAUGGGAUCAUGCAUAUAGUUGGAACCCUCCUUUUUAUCCUUGGUUGAGAAUACCACCACUUAUGUUUAAAAUUUUCUGGAUUCACCCUGAGAUAAGAAACUACAUAAGUUGUACAAGUUCUGUUGCUUGCCUUAAUCAAGAGAAAAAAAUCUGAACAUUCAAAGAACCAGAAAGGGAUUUAAAACAUAAUAAUCAACACAAAGAUAACUGAACAAAAGCUGUAUUGCAAUCUGAUAUAUCCUGCAGUUAUCAUAAAUCCUAUUAUAUGUAAUAUUUCAAGUUUUGCUUUAUAUUUCUUCUUCUUUCUUAUAUUUGAAUUCAAAAGUCCUGCAACCAACUGUCCUUUCAAUUAAAUUAUUGAUUGGAUAAUAACCUAAGCUGACCAGUAUAAAAUAAAAUUUGAAAAUGCUUUGUUGAAAUAAAAUAGUGGUAUUAUGUCAUUAGAUAUACUGAAUCAACUUCAAAUUUAAUCCAAAUUCACAUUUACCUGCUCUAAAAUGCAUAGUCAAUUGGACUACAAAAACCUGAGACUACUUCAAUGUAUAACAUAGAGAUUGUGGUCACCUCCCAUGUUAUAGUAGUCUCAGACAAAAACAAAACUGACUUAAAAACAGUAUGUUCAGAAUUUUUUUGAAAAAGGACAACAAAAAAGAAAUUUAUUAUUCUGAUAUCAGAAAUAAAUUCAAAGCGGAAU
rnacentral:lncRNA from 1 species